CUAAUUAUGUGUAGAUGCGCUUGA
rnacentral:siRNA from 1 species